rnacentral:rRNA from 1 species
CUACGGGUCGCUCCAGUGAGGAAUAUUGGACAAUGGGCGAAAGCCUGAUCCAGCGACGCCGCGUGGGUGAAGAAGGCCUUCGGGUUGUAAAGCCCUGUCAGAGGGGACGAAGUUCUGACGGUACCCUCAGAGGAAGCAUAGGCUAACUCCGUGCCAGCAGCCGCGGUAAUACGGAGUGUGCGAGCGUUGCUCGGAAUCACUGGGCGUAAAGGGCACGUAGGCGGCCUCGUGUGUUGGGUGUGAAAGCCCACGGCUCAACCGUGGAACUGCACUCAAAACUGCGAGGCUAGAGUACGGAAGAGGAAGGCGGAAUUCCCAGUGUAGGGGUGAAAUCCGUAGAUAUUGGGAAGAACACCAGUGGCGAAGGCGGCCUUCUGGGACGAUACUGACGCUGAUGUGCGAAAGCGUGGGGAGCAAACAGGAUUAGAUACCCCUGUAGUC